rnacentral:rRNA from 1 species
UGGUUCCUACGGGGCGCAGCAGUGAGGAAUAUUGGUCAAUGGUCGGGAGACUGAACCAGCCAAGCCGCGUGAGGGAUGAAGGUACAGAGUAUCGUAAACCUCUUUUGUCAGGGAACAAAGGCGGGGACGCGUCCCCGGAUGAGUGUACCUGAAGAAAAAGCAUCGGCUAACUCCGUGCCAGCAGCCGCGGUAAUACGGAGGAUGCGAGCGUUAUCCGGAUUUAUUGGGGUUAAAGGGGGCGCAGGCGGUCUGUUA